rnacentral:ribozyme from 1 species
AACUAGGGCAAGGUACAAUCCCGUGCAAGCCGGGAUCAGGGGUAGGUGCGAUCUACCCCUGCUACGCUCAACCUACGUCU